rnacentral:rRNA from 1 species
GAAGGUACAUUGGAACUGAGACACGGUCCAACUCCUUACGGGAGGCAGCAGUGAGGAAUAUUGGUCAAUGGGACGAGAGUCUGAACCAGCCAAGUAGCGUGAAGGAUGACUGCCCUAUGGGUUGUAAACUUCUUUUAUACGGGAAUAAAGUUGGGCACGUGUGCCUUUUUGUAUGUACCGUAUGAAUAAGGAUCGGCUAACUCCGUGCCAGCAGCCGCGGUAAUACGGAGGAUCCGAGCGUUAUCCGGAUUUAUUGGGUUUAAAGGGAGCGUAGGCGGAUGCUUAAGUCAGUUGUGAAAGUUUGCGGCUCAACCGUAAAAUUGCAGUUGAUACUGGGUGUCUUGAGUACAGUAGAGGCAGGCGGAAUUCGUGGUGUAGCGGUGAAAUGCUUAGAUAUCACGAAGAACUCCGAUUGCGAAGGCAGCUUGCUGGACUGUAACUGACGCUGAUGCUCGAAAGUGUGGGUAUCAAACAGGAUUAGAUACCCUGGUAGUCCACACAGUAAACGAUGAAUACUCGCUGUUUGCGAUAUACAGUAAGCGGCCAAGCGAAAGCGUUAAGUAUUCCAC